rnacentral:sRNA from 1 species
UAAUUUUCUAGGCUUCUAUUCUGCUGCUUGAAGUCAGAACUGCUGAUGGAGACAAAGGCACGAAAGUGUACGUAUUCCGGAUUAGCAACCCAGGAACCCAUCACUUCUGAAGACUCUAAACUGUGCUGUCAUUUUGUUUUUAUAUGCAUUAAAAUAUUUGUUUUAAACUGCUGUAGAUGUUUGUGUUCAAACAGGUUAAAUUGAUCAGCAAACUCAAUAAAAAGUAAGAUGUAUAAUUAUUAAAGUUUUCCAUCAAAAAAUAAUUUAAAUGAUUAUGGAAUAACAUAAUAUUUAGAGCAGGGCAGAUAAAUCAGUUGAACCUGAUUAUUUUUUAUUUAUUGUACUCUUUUUCCUGUUGCUGUUCUUUUCUGCAGGAGGGAAGACCCCUGAUCCUAAAAUGAAUGCUAGGACUUACAUGGAUGUAAUGCGAGAACAACACUUGACUAAAGAAGAACGAGAAAUUAGGCAACAGCUAGCAGAAAAAGCUAAAGCUGGAGAACUAAAAGUCGUCAAUGGAGCAGCAGCGUCCCAGCCUCCAUCAAAACGAAAACGGCGUUGGGAUCAAACAGCUGAUCAGACUCCUGGUGCCACUCCCAAAAAACUAUCAAGUUGGGAUCAGGCAGAGGUAAUUUCUUUUUGUUUUUUGUUAUUACUGUUAAAAAUUUUUUUUCUGUUAUGGACUGUAUUAGUCUGCUUGGGUUGCCAUAACAAGAUACUACAGACUGGGUGCCUUAAACAACAGACAUUGAUUUUUUUCGCAGUUCUGGAGGCU